GCAAGGUUAACCGAAUAGGGGAGCCGGAGGGAAACCGAGUCUUAAUUGGGCGUUAAGUUGCAGGGUAUAGACCCGAAACCCGGUGAUCUAGCCAUGGGCAGGUUGAAGGUUGGGUAACACUAACUGGAGGACCGAACCGACUAAUGUUGAAAAAUUAGCGGAUGACCUGUGGCUGGGGGUGAAAGGCCAAUCAAACCGGGAGAUAGCUGGUUCUCCCCGAAAGCUAUUUAGGUAGCGCCUCGUGAAUUCAUCUCCGGGGGUAGAGCACUGUUUCGGCUAGGGGGCCAUCCCGGCUUACCAACCCGAUGCAAACUGCGAAUACCGGAGAAUGUUAUCACGGGAGACACACGGCGGGUGCUAACGUCCGUCGUGAAGAGGGAAACAACCCAGACCGCCAGCUAAGGUCCCAAAGUCAUGGUUAAGUGGGAAACGAUGUGGGAAGGCCCAGACAGCCAGGAUGUUGGCUUAGAAGCAGCCAUCAUUUAAAGAAAGCGUAAUAGCUCACUGGUCGAGUCGGCCUGCGCGGAAGAUGUAACGGGGCUAAACCAUGCACCGAAGCUGCGGCAGCGACGCUUAUGCGUUGUUGGGUAGGGGAGCGUUCUGUAAGCCUGCGAAGGUGGCCUGUGAGGGUUGCUGGAGGUAUCAGAAGUGCGAAUGCUGACAUAAGUAACGAUAAAGCGGGUGAAAAGCCCGCUCGCCGGAAGACCAAGGGUUCCUGUCCAACGUUAAUCGGGGCAGGGUGAGUCGACCCCUAAGGCGAGGCCGAAAGGCGUAGUCGAUGGGAAACGGGUUAAUAUUCCCGUACUUGGUGUUACUGCGAAGGGGGGACGGAGAAGGCUAUGUUGGCCGGGCGACGGUUGUCCCGGUUUAAGCGUGUAGGUGUGUGUUCCAGGUAAAUCCGGUUCACUUUAACACUGAGGCGUGACGACGAGGCACUACGGUGCUGAAGCAACAAAUGCCCUGCUUCCAGGAAAAGCCUCUAAGCAUCAGGUAACAUCAAAUCGUACCCCAAACCGACACAGGUGGUCAGGUAGAGAAUACCAAGGCGCUUGAGAGAACUCGGGUGAAGGAACUAGGCAAAAUGGUGCCGUAACUUCGGGAGAAGGCACGCUGACACGUAGGUGAAGUGAUUUACUCAUGGAGCUGAAGUCAGUCGAAGAUACCAGCUGGCUGCAACUGUUUAUUAAAAACACAGCACUGUGCAAACACGAAAGUGGACGUAUACGGUGUGACGCCUGCCCGGUGCCGGAAGGUUAAUUGAUGGGGUCAGCGCAAGCGAAGCUCCUGAUCGAAGCCCCGGUAAACGGCGGCCGUAACUAUAACGGUCCUAAGGUAGCGAAAUUCCUUGUCGGGUAAGUUCCGACCUGCACGAAUGGCGUAAUGAUGGCCAGGCUGUCUCCACCCGAGACUCAGUGAAAUUGAACUCGCUGUGAAGAUGCAGUGUACCCGCGGCAAGACGGAAAGACCCCGUGAACCUUUACUAUAGCUUGACACUGAACAUUGAGCCUUGAUGUGUAGGAUAGGUGGGAGGCUUUGAAGUGUGGACGCCAGUCUGCAUGGAGCCGACCUUGAAAUACCACCCUUUAAUGUUUGAUGUUCUAACGUGGACCCGUUACCCGGGUUGCGGACAGUGUCUGGUGGGUAGUUUGACUGGGGCGGUCUCCUCCUAAAGAGUAACGGAGGAGCACGAAGGUUGGCUAAUCCUGGUCGGACAUCAGGAGGUUAGUGCAAUGGCAUAAGCCAGCUUGACUGCGAGCGUGACGGCGCGAGCAGGUGCGAAAGCAGGUCAUAGUGAUCCGGUGGUUCUGAAUGGAAGGGCCAUCGCUCAACGGAUAAAAGGUACUCCGGGGAUAACAGGCUGAUACCGCCCAAGAGUUCAUAUCGACGGCGGUGUUUGGCACCUCGAUGUCGGCUCAUCACAUCCUGGGGCUGAAGUAGGUCCCAAGGGUAUGGCUGUUCGCCAUUUAAAGUGGUACGCGAGCUGGGUUUAGAACGUCGUGAGACAGUUCGGUCCCUAUCUGCCGUGGGCGCUGGAGAACUGAGGGGGGCUGCUCCUAGUACGAGAGGACCGGAGUGGACGCAUCACUGGUGUUCGGGUUGUCAUGCCAAUGGCACUGCCCGGUAGCUAAAUGCGGAAGAGAUAAGUGCUGAAAGCAUCUAAGCACGAAACUUGCCCCGAG
rnacentral:rRNA from 1 species